CAGUAGCCACGGUAAUGCGAGGGGUGCAAGCGUUAUUCGGAUUGAUUGGGUGUAAAGGGUGUGCAGACGGCUCAUUAAGUCACUUGUUAAAUUCUUCGGCCUAACUGAAGGUCUGCAAGUGAUACUGAUGAGCUAGAGGGUGGAAGAGAGAAGUGGAAUUCUCGGAGUAGCGGUAAAAUGCGUAGAUCUCGAGAGGAACACCAAUGGCGAAGGCAGCUUCUUGGUCCAUUCCUGACGUUCAUACACGAAAGCGUGGGGAGCAAACAGGAUUAGAUACCCCAGUAGUCCCUGUCUCUUAUAC
rnacentral:rRNA from 1 species